rnacentral:lncRNA from 1 species
UCUUUUUCGUAUAAUGACUUCUUUUCCUCUGGGUAGAUACCCAGUAGUGGGAUUGCUGGAUCAAAUGGUAGUUCUAGUUUUCGUUCUUUAAGGAGUCUGUCCAUAGUGGUUGUACUAGUUAACAUUCCCACCAGCAGUGUGGAAGUGUGCCCACCACCAUGUGAGCCUACGUUUUGCAUCAACAUAACCUGGAUGUGAGACAUGAAGUCAAAGAUCAUUUUUGAGCUUUCAGAUUUAAUGACUGCCCUAUUAGGUUUUGGACUUG